AGUUUGAUCUAAAAAGUUUUAUUUUUUUUUGAAACCUCCAUAAGUUAUGGAUUUGAAAAGGUUUUAAAAAAAAAAUUGAUUCAAAGUUUUUUUUGGAGUUACAAAAUUUGGUGUUAAUGUUUUAAAGGAUUACAUAACUUAAGAAUAAGUUAUGGAUCACCAAAAGUUUUUUGUGUUAUCUUGUUUUAUGAGUGAAUUUGGAUUAAUGAUGAAAAUUAUGUGAUAGUUGGUUUUAAUCCAAAUUAAUCUAAGAAUUGAUUCUAAAAUGUGUUUUUGUAACUUGUCCUCAAGUUAUAUGAAAAGUCACAUUUAAGAAUCAUAAAACUCAUAAAAAUUGGCAAAGGUUACAAAAUGAAGAGUCUAGUUCUAAUUAAAUGGUUUUAUGACUCCAUAACUUGUCCUCAAGUUAUGGAGGACCAAGAGUCUCUUCAUUUAAUAAAAUAAAUAUAAAAUAAAAAAAGGUGUAACCUUAAUUAAUUCCAUAAGUUAUAAAAUAAAGAAAAGUUAAUUCUUUUAUUAGUUUAAAGUCUUCCAUAACUUGUCCUCAAGUUAUGGAACUUGAAGAGUUUUUGGAUUAAAACUACUUUAAACACAUAAGUUAUGGAAUUAAUUAGUUUUGAAUAGUUUCAAAACUUGCCCUCAAGUUUUGGAAUUUGUAAAGUUUUCUCUAAUGAAUACUUUAAUUCCAAGUUAGCCCUUAGAAUUUUAAAAGUUAAAAUUCAACCCUUAUACUUUAUAAUAUUAUAAGUUAAUAAUAUAUAUAUGUAUAAGAGUAAAGUCAGUCUUACCGCUAGUACGCCUCAUUCACGAAGCCGGUCUAUAAGGUGGGUAUAAGGUUGUUGCCUAUAAAAUGGCAACUUAAUGGGUGUCCACUCUCACCCACCGCUUGCUUGACUGGUGGAGGGUCGUUAGCCGAACGGGUUUGACAGGACUAGAAUUCUCCCUUCAUUAAAAGUAUUAAUGAUAAUACUAAGUAACUAAACUCUUAAUAAUACCCAAUCUUAGUUACUUAGGAAAAAUGUGAAUAAGGUGCUAAUCCAUGAAAUUACACUUUACACUUUGUCUAAGUCGUUAGUGGAGCGUGUGUGGUUAACCGGCACACUAACUUGGACUUAACAAGGUAGGUAAAGGGUGACUUAAUAUUUAUCAUAGUAUCGAUGGAGCGUGUGUGGUUAACCGGCACAUCGAUUGAGGGGUAAUUUAUUAAGGGUACCAAGUGAUUUGCAUGGUUACUUCACACCUUGUUUUGUGAUCCUCGGCAUCCCAGUCACAAAACCUGAAGGGCACACUCGAGAUUGAAACAUGCCUUUGAACAGUUCAAUGAAUCUCAAAGAUCUAGGAGUUUCAAAACCAAUUAAAACCUAAUAAUACAUUUCGUUUAUCUUGGUGGAAAUUGGUGAAUCGUCAUUCACCUACCUUCAAAUAUUUUAUAGCUUGGAUUACGGCAUACCUCUUCUAAGUUAUAAAAUAGUUUGUUGGGUCCUAGCCUUAAUAUUUCAUAUUGGGUGUCAUAUUAAGGACUUUAAAUCAACUAUCUUGAAUAUCUCCCAAAAGAUGUCUGGUUUAGACACCUAUGAUCUUCCCAAAUCUCUUGAAACAAGGUUUCCUAAUGAAGAUGAUGUCCCAUGGAUAUCAUACUUCUUUCUCCUCCUCCAAUUAUUCUCCCUAACCCACAAGUUCUUGAAAAGUUUAAGGUCACUCAAGCCCUAUUGGCAAGGCAAGGUCUAGGUGUGAUCACAUCUUGGAGAUGUAGUCACAUAUUGACAAGCCGGGAGAGUUGGGUGUCAAAGUCUUGAGAAAGUUGGUGGUUCAAUCACUUUCUAAGUCACAUAGUGAGUUCCUUUGGGACACCUAUGAAACAGACUAUGACAAGACCCUUAAUGAUCUUAUCUAUUUGCUAAGAUCAACUUCCUAAAACUUUAUGGACAUUGACAAUGAUGACAUUGGAUAUCCAGUAAAGCAUUCUCUUCCCAAUGGAAAGGGAUCGGCCAUAGUCAACUCGGUUGACCAAAUGGUAAAGAGAAAAGCUAAGUCUGUGAUAGUCUCGUGUACCAUUAUCAAAGGGUCCAUAUGUUUAUAUUGCCAAAGGAAGGGGCAUUGGUUGCGAAGCUGCCAAAUUUACCUAAGGAUGUUAAAGUCAAUAAGUUUGACUCUACUUCAGGUAAAGUCCACUAUCUAACUCUGUUAAGUUUCUAUUCUGAGAUUCCUGAUACAUGAUGUGACUGGGUCACAUGGUGAUGUUUUAAGAAUCAAAGAAAAGUGAAGAAACUUAAAGAAAGAAUAUGCUGAAUCUGAUGGCGUAGAUGGAUUUCUAUCGCAUAGUUUGAAGAUCGGAUUCUUGAGCAACUUCUUAGGAGUUAUGAGAUAUUGCUUAGGAAUAGAUAACAACAAGUUUUCAUAUGGAUUGUAAGGAUAAGUUUUUCCGCAAAGUUUUAAAAUAAAAGAAAAAUUUUUUGAUUUUAUUUAUUUUAAAAUAUCCUUACAAUGGCUUUUGAGGAAAAAUUGUUGCUUAUAUGAUUCCAUUAAGAGCAAGAGUGGAAAUAUGAAAUUGAUUCUUUCAUUUGUGGUAAUGUCUAGAUUUACCAAAUAAGGAAAGAUUCUCAUCACCCAAGUUUCAAUUGGACCGGAACUUGGAAUCAUGCAAGUUGUAUAGCAUGAUGAAUGAGAACUUUCAAGUUUUGGAAAAUUAAGACUAAUUACUCGGCCACAUGGAUGUGUGAGUCAAGUAAAGGACUAAGGGAUCGAGUACACAUUCUUGUGCACUGAUUAAGUCCACCACAAAAGAUUGAUAAGACUAUUCGUCAUAGUUUACUAAAGCUCAGUAAAUAUGAUUAUACUUACAAGCUUAAGUGUAACUCUGAGACAUUGGAAAAGGUUCCAAUGUAUGGCAGGGCGAAUAAGAAGAAUCAAAUUAGGCAGAAGGAUAAAAGUUUCUCAAAUCUGAAAAGAUGGGAGAGUACUUUAGUAUCAGUUUUGUGAUCAUCUUAAUGAUUAAGAAACCAUAUCAAAAUUAGUUCUCUAAGGAAAUCUUAGUGCAUUCUUAUGACUAAGAAGAGGAACUUGAAUUGUUGAAAUGGUUAAAUCAAGAAGAUGAGUCAUACUUCGUUCCAAUACAAGUCUUAGAGUCAUACUCCAAGAUUGUCAUUUGAGUGACAUGUCUUAAAGAAGGUUUAAAACACUUGUCAAAUGUAAGAGUAAAAGUUUUCUACUCUUGUACAUUUGAAAUUGGUAAGUUGUGAUGUUUUGGAUAAAACAAAGACCAACUUAGGCCAAUUGGGUAAAGUGUUUUUCUUGAUUAGAAUCCGCACUAUCUCUUGGAUGUUUGACAAGGGAGUCUUAUAUGUCAAGAGGACAGUGGGAGUCUUAAAGGUCUUGAAAGUCUCAAGAACUAAUCAAGAAUAAAACCUGAAGUUCUUCACUAGCACACGACUUGAGGUUCAUAACCUAUCGUGUUGACAUAUUCUGUGCCCAUUCCAGUUAAAGUUGGCUUUGCAUAUGAGUUCUUAGAGUUCUCAAUUUGUUGCACAACAACUUGGAAGCAAUGGUAGGCCCUUGAGCUGCCAGGUGGCAAGAAAUUAAGAUUGAGUUCAGUCCAUAUGAGUUUGGAUUUGUCAUUAUCCUUGUCUUGUGACUAUGGUUUUGACAAUUCACAUGGAUAAGAACACAUACACCAUUAAAUCUAAGUGUCAUAAGGUUUCUCUCCGAUUCAUGAAAAUGAUGGUGAGGAAACACUUUCACUAAGUAGAUUUUAGCUAGAUAGCAAUUGUGAUAUUUGCAUUCUCAAAGUCGUUAGUGGAGCGCGUGUGGUUAACCGGCACACUAACUUGGACUUGUGAGAAGUGGCAAAAAGGUCUAAACAUUAUGAUUACGGCAUCCCUCUUCAUAAUUGUUUAGAUACACAAGUGUGCUAUCUAAGGGAAGGUGUAUGAUUUUGAUAAAGUUUUAUCAAAACAAUCUAGCAUCAGAAAUCUGAACUUUGGUAAGAAAGUCAAUGAAGUAUUGAUUUCUAGAAGUCCAGCUGAUUUCUGAGUACAUGUCAAAGCUAGUGGGAGCAUAAGUGUUAUGCUAAUAAUCAUCAUGUUAGUGGGAGCAUGAUAAUUAUGAUAAGUAUUGCAAGUUAGCAAUGUUAAUUAUAGAAAACAAAAGUUUCAAUUGGGAAAAAGUUGUUUUGCUAUAAUUAAGGGAGAGGAAAUUAUACUUCAUCUCAAAUCUAUAAGCUUAGAUCGUGAGGUUUUAAUCAUUUAGUCAAGGAUAUAUAUGAAUUUCAUGUUGGAAUGGCUCAACAUAAGGAAAUUCUGUAUAUGGGUCCAUUAUUUGCGUUCUAAAAUUCGAUUAUGAUUACGGCAUCCCUUUUCAUAAUCUGAAUUAUGAGAACUUGGCAAAUUGAAAUGGAAAUAUUAUAGCAAAAGACUGGUUUAGUCUUUAUGUAAGACAUCAUGAAUCGUGUCCCAUAUGCUUCGGAUAUAGGAUCGAUUACAUGUGCUAUAUUCAUCCGUUCUAAAAUUUUCCAAAUGCCUGGGGCAUUAAGAAGGGAAAAGGUUUAGAACUGGAUAUGACUAAAAGGAUUAAACAAUUGUCGAGGACAAUCUAAGGUUUACCAAAGAUUGGUUGCUCAAGGACAGUUGGAAGUAUAGUGAUAAUUCUGGAAGGACCAUAUUGACAUAAUCUGUAAGGAGGCAACUCUUGUUCAGAAGUGAUAGUCAAAAUGGAAUCUGGAAAUGUUUCAAAGUUAGAAUUUUCAAUCUGUUUAAGAUUAGGAAACUUAAUGCAAGAAGGAUGUUUCCAAGGAGCUGAUCUCCUUUGGAAUACUCUGUAAUGAUUGUUGUCAAGUCUUUCUGACUUUGUGCAUAAUCAUUACAAGAGGAUCAAUGCAUAUAAGUUUAGAAUCUAACAGAUUUCAGUAAAUGGCAUGAAUUUGGAAUUCUUGCAUUUGCAGUAAGGAUUUGGGAGUGUGAAAAGAGAAUCAUUGAAGUUAUGUUCAAUUGAUCUAGUUCACAAAGUAAAGAUCAUAGACAAACAUAGUAUGCAUACUUGGUGUGUGGCAUGACUAGUGUUUAAGAAAACAUAGUGUACAUGCUUGGAGCAUGGGACAACUAUUGUUUUAAAUUCAAGAAUAAAGUUGAUAGCUGAAACAGUAUACAAUGAAUAAUGUGUAAUCAUAUGGUGAUAAAUAAAAGGUGUUUUAUUUAUGUUCAAAGGGUUGAUACCAUAUUGGAUUCAAUUAUUAUUGUGUUUCACUUUGCAUGUUUUGACUUCCCGAAUAAACUGGGUUAUUCUUCCGGAAUGACUAAGUUAUUCAAACCAUCCACAGUCGGUCAUAUGUUGGAAGUAGAUAUGAAUUAAGACUGUCAUGAUGGGUUGUAGAGGUCUAAGGUGUUGGACAAGGCUACAACAAUCAUGAGUGCUCAUAAGUUCUGAGUAUUGGAUUCAACCCGCGCUCAUUGGAAUCACUUCAUGGAUUUUAUCACGAGUGAUCAUGAGACGAUAAUAUCUUAUAUUCUUCAAACCUAGAGAUAUGAGUUGUUACUAUGAGUUGAUAGUACAUUGAUUGCACGAAAACGCAUUUGGUAACUCGGUGCUAUAAAACGUGCCUUUGUGUAUGAUUCAACAAGUAGUAGAACAAGCCAUAUGAGUCGAAGUUUAUCCGUUCCUUUUACCUUCGGGAUAAAAGCGAUAUCUGUGGGCCCCUCGAUGAUUUGAUGAUGACAAAUGGAAGUGCUCGGCCGGGCCAGGACUGAUUUGAUUUGUUCAAUUAGUCAGUCGUCAUAAAUCGGAAAUCGGGAAACAACAAAUGGACAGAGAGAAUGAUUAUAAUCCAUGUCUCAGUCCAUAUGAUAUCUAGAAUGGAGGAAUAUAUGAUCCCUUAUCUAAUGGACAAGUCACUGACAAAGGUCAGAGUUCAUCUACAAGGUCAGAGUUCGACAGAAGCUUUUGAGAGCUACGAUUGCCGGUUGGUUCCUGAAGUCAUACGCAAUAAUAGUUUUAGACUUAUCCAAGUGGGAGACUGUUGGAUUAAUGUCUAAGUCCAUAACUAUAUUUGGUAAGACUUGACCCGACCCGGCAUGGUCCAUUUGGGUUGCAUACCAUCAUGCACUUGAAUGAGAGAAAUAAGACACUUAUGGUUAUUAAUAUAUUAUAAGUUCUAGUAUAUUAAUAAUAAGAAUAAUAAGAUUAUUUAAUUAGUAUUGAUCAAGAAUUAAUCUAGGAUUAAUUAAGUGAUCAAAAGAAGACUAAUUAAAUAUAUGGGUUGAUUGUGUAAAUCAUCCAUACUUGGAUAGUGGGCUAAUGCUCCAUGGAUAAUCAAGUUGGGCUAAAACCCAUAGGAUGGUCCAUGGAUGCUCCAUGGUGUAUUUGUACCCAUGGAUCCAAGGAAAUGGAAAGCCAUGACAAUUAAAAGUUUACCCUAAUUGUGUAACUAUAUAAGCAUCUUAUUAUUGAGGAAAAAUCGGCCACUAGAGAUAGUGAAGAAAGGGCUAGCCGAUUUUGAUGAGUGUAGAAUUCUCUCAAGUCAUUCCAAGUGUUUUGAUGAUUGUGAUUCCAUUUGAGGUGUCACACUUGGGGCACUAAGCACUCAAGCUUCAUGAAGACUUACUACACCAAAAAGGUAUGUAUUCUAUCCUACUAUAUCCAUUGUUUUAUAUGCUAGAUUAGGAUAAUACCUUGGAAGUUCUUAUUUGCAUGUAUAAUAGAGAAAACAUAGAUCCAAGGUAUUUAGGGUUGCAUGUACACUUAGGAAGUGUUAGAAUGCUCAAAACCCAACAGCUAGAUCAAUGCAAACUUUGCCAACCUUCCUCUCUACUUUUGGGCCGAAGCAGUGGCAACUGCAUGCUUAGUUCAAAACCGAAGCAUCAUUUGCAAACGUCUUAAAAAAAAACUCCGUAUGAGGGCCUCAAUUAUUGUACACCAAAUGUCAGAUUCUUCCACAUUUUUGAAUGCACACGUUUUAUGAUAAAAAAAAACAAGAUCACCUUAACAAAUUUGCACCCAAAUCAGGUGAAGGCGUUUUUCUUGGCUACUCUAGCAAUAAGGUGGCCUAAAGGGUUCUCAUUAGACGUACAAGACUUAUAGUAGAAAGGUUUGAUGUCAUAUUCAAUGACUAUUAUGCCCACAACACUGCUCCAUCAACCGAAACGACAUUCAUUCUAGAAAGUGUUAUCCUAAUCUCUUCGUUUCCGUUGAAUAUAGUUGAAGUCAACUAAGAUGAUCUAGUUGAUCCCGCAUAGACGGCUCAUCUCUCUGAUAUCCUUGUGUCUUUGGUAGCUCAAUAACAACAUGUUGAAGUAUCUGGUCCAAACCUAUCUGAAGAGUUGUCACUUAAUACUUCCAUCUUGCCGGUUGAGGGGGAGAGUUCAACUCUGGUUCCAUUAACAACCAUCAAGGUUCCAGUACUUGAAGAUGCAACUCCGGAUUCCACUCACAAAGUCACUGCUCAAUCAAAUGUUUCCUUGGACUCUAAUGAUGAAGAAAUUAAGAAUAUUGACACAAGAACAGAUCUAAGGCUUAUCACUUACUCAUCAAUCCAGGGGGAACCAUCUUCCCUCCAGGGGGAACUCUCAUCCGCAAUUUAGGGGGAACCUACGUCAAAUGUUGCUCAAAAUCCUAUAGUACAAGAUACUUAUGUGGGUUGCUCCCAAGUCGAGGGGAACUAGAGUCCUCUGAUGUUGAAGAUAUUCCCUCUACCUCAGCCACAGAUCACCAACAACCUCGUCUUCACUUUUGGACGAAGGAUCACCCACCAGGUCAAAUCAUUGGAAACCCAUUUGUAUAGAUACAAACUCGAUCCUCCAUUGAUUUAAUGGACCACUGCCACUAUGCAGCCUUCAUGUCCUCAUUCGAGCCUCGAACCAUAAAAGAAGCACUCAUCGAACUCGAAUGGAUCACCGCAAUGCAGGAGGAGUUAGCUAAGUUUGAAAGGAACAAAGUUUGUAAACUGGUACCGACGCCAAAGGGACACACAAUCGUUGUUACUAGAUGGGUAUAAAAAAACAAGCAUGAUGAGUCUGGUGUGGUUGUAAAAAACAAACCAAGACUAGUUACUAAGGGGUACAGUCAACUUGAAGGUGUUGACUACGACGAAACAUAUGCCCCCAUAGCUAAGAUGGAAGAAAUACACAUUCUCUUAGCAUAUGUAGCACACAAGAAUAUCAAAGUACAUCAAAUGGAUGUAAAAAGUGUCUUUCUGAAUGGAGAACUAAAGGAAUAAGUUUACUUGCAACAACCUCCAAGCUUCGAAAGUCAAGAAUUCCCAAAUCAUUGCUACAAGUUAGAAAAAGCAGUAUACGGUCUUAAAAAAAACUCCAAGGGCAUGGUAUGAGACUCUUUCUGAGUUUCUUGUCUCGUCUAGUUAAAAAAGUGGUGUGAUUGAUCCCACAUUAUUUAGAAGAGAAAACGGUAAUCACUUAAUGCUUGUCCAAAUAUAUAUGUGGAUGAUAUCAUCUUUGGCUCAACUGGUUAGGGUAUGGUGAAUAACUAUGCAAAGCUCAUGACAAGUAAAUUCCAAAUGAGAAUGAAUAGAGGGAUUAACUUCUUUCUACUUCUUCUAGUGAAACAAGUCCCUCAAGGGAUAUUCAUUCAUCAAGAAAAGUAUACCUCUGAGGUAUUGAAGAAAUACUUGAUGGACAAUUGUUCCUCAGCCAAGGUCCUAGUGGCCUUUUGUUAUAAGAUUUCAGCUGAUCCUACCGGAGAAUCAGUUGACCAAAAUACUUAUUGAAGAAUGAUUGGGUCAUUAAUGUACCUCAUCGAAAGUAGACCAGAUAUUGUCUUUGCAACAGGAUAAUGUGCUAGGUACCAAGCUGACCCUAAAGUAUUUCACUUGACUGCAGUCAAGCAAAUUCAUAGAUAUUUAAAGUGAAAUAAAGCGAUGGUCUUUUCUAGACGUAAAAAUGGGGAUGUCACACAUGCCAACUAUUGAACCUUAAUUACCAUCACAAACUUCCUCUUGAAUAUGGUGACAAAAUCCUCUAAUGAGAUGGACUCUACCAUAUCAGGUUUGAGGCACUAGACAACCUCGCACCACCAAUCCCUACCUCUGUCGUGCAAAAUACAUGUCGCAAACUUGAACUUGGCCUCUGCCAGACAGAAGCUAGAAUGAAAGCCACUCACCACAAUGGUAAUCCAAUGCAUACUGAGGAUCGGGUCCCUAUACCCAAAGAAAUAAGGAGAUCUACAAGAAUUAAACUCUAUGAAGGUGACUCUGCGACCCAAUGGCCAACCAUCCUCAAACUCAGCCCACGAAAUCCUAAGGCGCUCGUCCACCAUAGUGAUCAAUUCUUCCCUGACUGUGCUGGUCAAUCCAUUCGUAUCCUCUCUCAUGAACCUCGAAAUCUAAGCAACAAUAAUGUCACAGAUAUCCCUUUCACUGAUGUUUGAAUCUCCAACACGGGAAGUCACCAUCCAAAAUCUGAAAUAUAAGAAACAUAUCAAGAUCAAUAAACAGUGCAAACCCACACUAUGCAUACCCACCUAUAAGUUUCUUGGUAACCCUAAGACACCUCCUUGAAUCGAGUAUGGAUCAUGUGCUUUCAGUAGUACAGACCCAAUACUACCUUCCACACCUAUCCAUACCCACUAUAAAUAUUGUUCCAAGACUCCGAAAUCACUUCGAAACACUCUAUAAAACUCCUAACACAUGCAUAUGUCUAUCUAUAUGCGUAAUACUAUACUUCUUAGACACUCUCGGUACGAUUCAUCCCUUCCCACUCGCUCCCACAUUGAUAGAAAUCUUUAGCAACACCGAUGGUUGCAGCCUGCAUGCAAGUUAUACACAAUACCAGACCAAGUAGACUGUCGAAUGACUGAUUCUACCUAAGCCUACAACCAGACAAGGAACAUGAAAUAAGGAGAAAUCAAUCAUUCUAAGUCUAUUCAAAACGAAUCUCGUACAAAUCUAAAGCUUACAUGUUGAAAUUAACAUUAUCAAUAUAGAAUUCAAGCAUCACAAAACAAAUAAUUCUCUAUACUAAGGCAUCAUAGGUGUCAGGAAAUUCUAUCAUGCAAUUCCUGAGUAGAUCAACAAUCUACAUUUUAGCAGGCAUAACAAUUCAUAGCAUAAAUAUAAUAUCAUAUGGAUAUAAUGAGAAUUACUUACUUCUUGAACUCUAGUUGACUAUAGGCAUUACAUCAUCUCAGAGUUCCCAGGCUAUCCAACAUACACUACAUAGAACACAAGUUAUCACUACGAGAUAACCAUAUAGCAUAAAUUCAUAACAUAAACUAACAUUGUAAAUUUCCUUGGAAAAUAGCAUUCCUUAAUUACCUUAUCCUUGACCAUUUCUUAGUGGAUUCCUUUGCUAGUAAAAUAUAAUCCUGAUAAUUGGCCUUCCCCAAUUACCUUAUCCAAACAUAAAUUUUAAUAGUACCACAUGAUCAAUAGGAAAGACACUACAAGUCUAGCAUACCACAACACCAAGUGCCCUAAACUACACAUCCUAACAAAGGAGUCGUCCUAGCUAUUAACAUACUUGUACACUAACAAUACCUUUAUCCUUCCAGCAAAGAAUAUACAAUAUAUAUAUAUAUAUAUAUAUAUAUAUAUAUAUAUAUAUAUAUGUAGACACACACACACANNNNNNNNNNNNNNNNUAUAUAUAUAUAUGGCAUAGUGAGAAACUAACCUGAAUUACAGAGCCAUAGAAGCACAAAAGCACUCUAACCCUUUCACCGAUCAAUCCCUUGAACUGACAAACACCAAGAAAGAUAAAUCCUCAAUCAGCAACCUAAAUCCUCCAAGUUUGACCAUAAGUUAAAACAGUUAAAAUUCAAUGAUCAAAGGUCCACAAAGUCAACAGUUAACCUUGUCAAAUUCAACCCCACGUCAUAGUCCCUCCUUGGUCACAUUGUGGGAAUGCAAAGAUAAAACAGUCACGAUUCGGAUUUGGCACAAUUCCUUGGCCACAUUGUGACGAUUUCUAGAAGCUAUAUUUUACAUUGAGGACUUAAUUCAUUAAGUACUUUUCUCUAACUUUCCAGAAGGCUUCCUUGCAUUCUAAAGAACCAUAAAAAUCACUACUUUUGUAACAUCCCAAAUUCUAGAAGUAUGAUUGAAGGGCUUAAAGUGUAAAUUAAGAAAGCUACUCGACGAGUAGGUGUUCUUACUCGUCGAGUCGGAGCGGGAUUUGGUCGCGAGUUAUGUAGCCAAGUCGCCGAGUCGGCGGCUGGACUCGACGAGUUGGUGCUGGGAAGAAAAAACCCUAAUCUUAGGGUUUGCACCCUAUAUAAAGGACUUUAUGUCCUCCCCUCUGCCUCGUUAUUACCCUUGAGAGUUAGUAAACCCUAGAAAUCGUGUGAGCUUCCAUUGUUUAAGAGAAUUGAGUUUUGGAGGAGGAAUGUUGGGAAGGGAACUUGGAGAUCAAGAGGCUAGCAUCAAGGGAUUGGUGUAGAUCCAGAAUCUACUUCAGUUUGGGCACAUCUUGGAGGAGUUAUGCCCUAGAAGAGUGGAUCUACAGUUUGGAGCCCCUACAUGGAUCGAAAAUUCUCUAUAUGGAUGAAGGACUGAAGAGACUCUGCGAGUUCCUUGGGUGGACUCAGCAAGUCGUAUGAAGAUGGGAAUGGACUCAAGGAGUUGAAAGAACAACUCAGCGAGUUUGUUGAAGAUUUUCGAGGACUUAACGUCUGUUCUUUUUCUCAGCGAGUCAGGUCGCAGAACCCCAACCGAUUUUGGUUAAGCUUCGGAUCAAUGAGUCGUUUGGCGACUCAGUGAGUUGGUAAGGAAGGAAUUCACAGAUCGUUGAACUCGACAAGUCUUGGGGCGACUCGGCGAAUCGAUUUGUGUUAUGGGAGUUCUCUAAGUAUAAGAACUCGACGAGUCGACGGGUUGACUCGGCGAGUAGAGUCAAUCAGGCAGGUUGAAUUUGGCAAGGACUUUGACUUUGACCAGUUUGGCCUUCAAGGGUGUUAUGGCAAUUUGGAUAUUUAUGUCAUUGGAUCAUUGAUGGCUAUAGGUGUUGGAGUUUGAGGCAGUGCUUCAGGAUUGUGGUUUCGUGGUUCGGUUCGUCAGUGCAAGGUGAGUUUUCCUCACUAUACUCAAGGGUCAAAGGCACCAAGGCCGGUCCUUUGAUUUGUUAUUUGGAAUAGAUACUACUGUGAUAUGUUAGUUGGCAUUCUGGUCGAAAGGAUGAUUACGUGUUAGUUUUGUUGGUUGGAUCAGUAUUCUGGUAGAUUGGUUAUGGCUAUGCUUAGUGGACUAUAGUGGUCUGAUUGUUUGUUUGCUAGUAGGAGAUUACAUGUUAUAUGUGCACAUGUUGAGCAGUAGUAGAGGGUAUUCCAUCCCGGUAGGAUGAUAGGGCCCUAGUAUGUUGUUUCUGUAGACUGGUUUAUGAUUAUUGGAUAGGUGCACAUGUUUGUUAGAGUGGGGGCAUUCCAACUCGAUGGUUGAGGGACAGGAGUAUUCCAUCCCGGUAGGAUGAUUGGACUCAUAGUAGGUGGACAUUCCAAACUGCUGGUUGAGGGCCUGGGGUAUUCCAUCCCGAGGGAUGAUCAGACCCAUAAUAGUUAUUGUAUGUAUAGGUGUGUGGGCAUUCCAACUCGAUGGUUGUGGUCCAGGAGUAUCCCAUCCCGGUAGGAUGAUUAGACUCACAGUAUGUUGGCAUUCCAACCUGAUUGUUGAGGGCCUCAGUUAUUCCAUCCAGAAGGAUGAUUGGACCCAUAGUAGUUAUUGUAGGUAUAGGGACAUGGGCAUUCCAACCCGAUGGUUGUGGGCCGGGAGUAUUCCAUCCGGUAGGAUGAUUGGACUCGUAGUAUGUUUGCAUUCCAACCCGAUGGUUGAGGGCCAGGGGUAUUCCAACCGGAUGGUUGAUUGGACCCAUAGUAUGAUGUUUAUUGUUGUAUGUGUAUGGUUAUGUGUGUAUGGGUAUUUUAGGGGAACUCACUAAGUUUUCGAGCUUACGAUUUCGGUUUAUUGUUUUAGGUACAUCAGGUAAUCGUGGCAAGGCAAAGGCGUGAUCGUACUGCUCCUCAUUUUUCAUAAUUGUGUGAUUUGGUUCUGGGGAUACUAUGAUGUUUAAACUGUUUUGAAAACAAAUUGUAAUAACUUAAUGGUUUUUGAAUGGAUUAAAAUGUUUUAAAUUGGCGUAAAUUUUUUUAUGAGUGUUACAACUUUUGUAGACAUCCAAGUCCAAUGCAUGUCUGUUAGGGUGUGUCAAACCCAACAAAUAAAUACGUAUAAAUUGACUCCAAAAAUAAAGCUAAUUUACACUAAAGGAAUACUUAUAAUGCCCGGUUUCACGUAUUCUAAUUAUGAAGUUUAUUGUUAUUUUGGGUUAGCCACGACAUGAUGAAUAGAUCACUAUAACGUGGAAGUGUGCAGGAAACAUACAUAUCCUUAGUGCCUCCCACGGUGCGAAAAAUAUUAGCUACGACGUGGGGACGACUAUUUGAGUAAAACCUUAAUUUCCAGACUUCGAGCCCAAGUUAAAGGAAGUACUAGCAAGUUUUGCCCCUUAUCAGCCUCCAUCACCCUCCAAUACUCAGAAACCCUAACCCUUGCAUACUUUGCAUAUCAAGAGACCAUUUUAGUGUUUCUGGUGAUCCUUGAAUAAAGAAGAAGGAAGUGUGGUGAAAGAUAAAAGGAUGAAAUCUAUCUCCACCACUUGUGUUUACUCUUUGGACCUUUGGUGAGCCUUCUAGUUAAAUUUUUGUUGUUGUUAUCUUCAUAGAUCUUGAGUUUUAGCCCAUUUUGGACUCUUGGUUAUAUUUGGGAAAAGAGAAGAGAUAAAUUUUGCAACUUUAUGACUCUUAAGGGUCCCAAGAACAUUAUAUCUCAUGGAUCUGAGAUUUGCUUGAGUUUUUGCAUCCAUGCAUGAGUUUUCGUCACCUUUUUACCCAUUUUGACCGAAAGUGGAUUCUAGACAUGCAUUGUGCAUGCAUGGCCAUAAAGCACAUAAAUUUAUGUAAGAUCUGCUAUUAGAAACUCUUCUUGAGUUAAUUGGGCUAAGAGCUAUGAGGGAAGGUGCUUUAUGGUGAAGCCUAUGUCCUUUUAUUAGCCUUAUUAGACUUUUGAUUAAAGAUCUCGUCUUAAUGGCAUGUCUUAAUGGAUAAAGUUGGGAACUUUAUCCAUUAAUGCGUUGAGAAGGAGUAGAUAUGGGUUUUUGAACCCUUAGAAAUGAGCUAAAAGUGGCUUAACUUGAUGAAUCCAUUCAUACGAAUCACCACGGAGUGGCCCUAGGUCGGCACGGCCUGGAAUGUUGGGAUUAGUCACCCGUUUUGUUUGAUUCGGUGCCACGACAUCGCUAAGGAUAGUCAAGGCGUCGCAAGGUGCUGAAUUCAGAAGUUGACUGUUGACCAAGACUAUUGACCAUGAACUUUUUAGGGUUGACUUUGACUUGUGGACUUUGGCCAAAUGUGUAGUUUUAGAAAUAAGGACUAAGGGUCUUUCAUGUGUAUGUGUUUAGGUGGCAUUUAACACCGAAUUGAUUUAUCCUGAGUUGUUUGUAUUUGAUCUACUUGUGAGGUGAGUCUUAUCACUGUACUGUAGGACACUAUGUGUCAUUAUACACUUGUUGUCUAUAUGACUCUUGUAUGUUUGCAUGUUAUGAAUACCAAGAGGGGCCCGAUGAUAGGCGAGGCUCAUUGUCUGCAUGAUAUAUAGUAUUUUAGAGAACUCACUAUACUUUGUGUUUAUGGUUUCCAGUUUAUGUUGUAGGUACUUCCGGUUCGAAGGGGAAGAUCUCAUGAUGAUCACAUCGCACACACCAUGAUUUUUCUAUCUUAUUUCACUCUGAUGUAUUUUAGGAUGAUGGAUGAUAUACUCUUAUUUCCUUUAUAAUUUUUAUAAACAUAUUUGGUUGACGGUUUUUAAUAUUAUAAAAAUGAAAUUUUUGGUUACUAUUUUAAGGGCAUUACAAGUUGGUAUCAGAGCAUUAGUUUGAGAGAUUCGGGUAUACUCUUGAGUAUGUUCGUACUUAAACUGAGGAAUUGGUAAAUUUUUUAAAAGAAAAUGAUUUUAUAAAUAAUUUUUGUAAAAAUAAUGGGUAUGAUGUGUGCAAUCGGCUGAGCUCAAGUAAGUUUUUCCCAAAAUACCCGUAUAAGAAUGUUUUGUUAUGCUUAUCAUUUGAUAAAAGUAUAUAAGAAUUGAAUGCUAGAAGUUAGAAUAAGGAUAUGCUCAUAGUUGAAUGCUAGGAUACCUACUUAGGAGAGAUGCCUUUAUGCCUGUUGGUUAAGCUUUUGGUAUUACAAGCUAGUAUGGAUUUCAGAUGAUUGGCUAUGAUGACCUAUUUAGGUGAUGCUCUGGUUUAGAUGUCACUUAUUUCUUGUUAGUUUCAAUGCCUGAAUGUUGCUUGCUUUGUGAUUUGUUGGACUCAUAUUGAUGUGAGUUAAUUAUUAUAUGAAUAUGUCGAGCUACAUGCAGUUAAGAUUAAAAAUCUUUGAGUGAUUAAAUUGGCCUUAUUGUGCAACUCUCAUUUGAGUCUAACCGUUGAAGGGGUUCUUUAACUGCUGAUGACACGGUGGGUGAAGAGCCUAAGAAGUGUUUUACUGUGUUUAGAUACGCUGUUUAGCGGGUACUUGGAGUACUAGUUUCAGAAGGAGUAACUUGGAGGAUUCGGGAAGAUCUUUGUGGAAAGCACAAAUUGAUGUGGAAGAUAGUAUGGGCCCAAUACUACUGGAAAUAGAGGAUCCUACUCGAAAAAAGGAAAGUCAUGAUGAUUCUAAUGAGCUUGUAGUUUAGGGUAUUUCUUUUUCUUUCUGAUGUUUUAUUUUUCGUAUUUCAGUAUGAUGACUACUCGAGGAGGUUCUGGUGAUGGUACUAGUUCUGGUUUAGGCUCUGGCGUUAUCGAUUGAUGAGAGGAUAUGGGAGUUCAUCUCAUCUGUGAUUACUCCCAGUAUUUUGUAGCAAACUCGUGUGAUCUUUGGUAUUAUCAAGAAGUGCAUCAUGGAGGUUUUGGUAGAGCGUUUGAACACAUUCCGUUCAGAGAUGUUCGCUGCUAUGGGAACUCGUACUCUCACCUUCUGAGAGUUUCAUGCUUGUGGGGCUCCCGACUUCCACGGGAUGAAAGACCCCAUUAUAUGUAGGACAGAGAGUUCUAGGACAACUUUUGACAACACAACUUACACAACUAGAUUGCAUCAGAGGUCUCACAAAGUCUUCUAGAAGAGUUGCUAGGUAUUAUUGAGUGUAUUACGAAUGGGUUGGUCACCAAGUUCAGGGAACGGGAAUCAGCUGAUCAAAUGAAUGAUAUGAUCGUUAGGGAGACUCAGGAACUGUAGCUUUGUUUGGAGGCGCAUCAAGGAAAAAGGAAUAUGAUAAAUGUUCCGACUCUACUAUCAACAUCCAAGAAACGUGACGUUGUUGCUCCUAGUGUUAAGGGCCAGGAGGGUCAUAACUCAUAUGUUAUGGGAGGAGAAAUUCAUAAGUGUGGGUGUAACAAGUCCAAAAGUGGCAGGUGCAAAUUGAAGGGCCAUCUUCGUUAAGAUUGCACCAUGGAGGUAGAGUUAUGCCAUCAUUGUCAUCAGCCCAAUCACCUUAGGGAAAUUUGCCCAUGUUUAGUACUUUUUGGAAGCACAGAUUGCAUUGCAUAUGCUUCUAUCGGAAAGGGAAGUAACACUCCGAGACUCUAUGGAUAUCUAUCAUAUUCUCUUCCUUCAUGCUUUAAUUUUAUGCUUAUGACCCUAGUAGGUGUGUGUGAAGUGUUACGUCAUGAUUAUCUAAGAAUGGUAGCAUAUGUAUGAUUGAUAUAGUUACCUUAUUCGAAAAGUUAUCGUAUGUUAUUUUGUAUACCGAGAGUCAUGAUUAGAGUGUCCAUGGUUUAGUCUGUUUUAGGCUUUUACAUGGGGAUGUAAGACAAGGAUAAGGCGAAAUCUAUGUGAGGGAGAAUUGGGUGUUUUUAAUGAUGGACUAACAGGGGGAUUGAUCUUAUGGUUUCAAUGCAUUGCGUCUGAGGAAGCUACAACGAGAGUGUAGUAGAGUAUUGGGAAUUUAGGAUUCAUGGAGAUCCUUCAAGAUUGUUGUCACACCUCCAAACCGGAAUGGCAGAAACAUUCGGGAGCGGAGGACGUCAUCUUUAGUAUCAUAACACCUGCAUCAUAGUAAUCAAAGUAGUAAACAACCAUCGAAUUAAUGUUUAAGUGUUUACAAAAAUACGUUUCACAAACGAUUGACUCCAAAAGUAAAUAACAAAACAAGACAUGAAGCUACUAUGCUCCAUCUUUUGUAUCCCAGUGUGCGUACCUGUCUACUAGCACCUGAGAAAACAAGUUAUUUUGAAAGCGUAGAUCAACAUUUAAGAUGGUGAGUUCAUAAGUAUUUUAGUGAUGUUAAGUCAGUUGUAAGUUCUUUUAAGAAAAGUUCGCAUGUUCCUCCACAAAAUCCUAUAUCUUCUGAUAUGAUAAAAGAUAAGUAAAAUGACUCUACAAUCCUUUCUAUGAAUGUUAAAUGGAUACAAGUUAUAUAGAGUCCAGAUCAAACAAACAAUCGAUUAUGAGACUCUACCCUAACCCACAACCAAACAAGGAACAAGAAAUUAAACAAAAAGUACACAUCCCAUUGUUUGUUAGAUCUUCAUUGUAUAUAACCCUAGUGUAUUCAUUUGCUACUCAUAGAGUUAAUUUGUAAUAGUUCCUUCAUAUUUGAUGAAAACAUUCUUUAAGGAAAACCCUUAUUUCCUUUAGUAAAAAUGAUAACCACAAUAGUUCCUUCUAUAAUCACUUAGUUUAUACAAGCUAUAUAUAAUCUAAUAUCGAACAGAUAGUUAACUGUAUGAAUCUGCCCUAAGCCCACAACCAAACAAGGAACAGGAAGUAUGGCGGAAAGCACACAUCUAACUGCCUAUCGGAUACUAAUUAUAUAUAACCCUGAUGUAUAAGCUAAGACAUCAUGGAAUUAACCACUAAAGGUCCUUUUAAGUUAUAUUGGUUUAAUAAAGUGGAUUAAACCCUUUUACUGAUAGGUUUCUAGUUUAGUCUACUACAUAUUCUAUCUAAAAUGGAUGUUUUUGUACUAGAAAAUGAUGUACUGAAUUUGUAUGUUAUGACCUGGCCUAUACCUGGUACCCCUUAUGAUUACUUGUUGUAUACGGAACUAGGAACAGGAAAUGAAGCAGAAUGCACACGUCCUACUAUCUGUCGGACCCGAUUUAGAUAUAUCCCUGAUGUAUAAAAUAAGGAAUCAUAAUGUUUGAAUUAUAGGACCCCUUUUCAAAGUGAAUGUAUUGCGACUCGACUGUACUAUUUGUGUUUUGUAAUAAUGUAAGUAUACAUUAGUAUUUUAAAAUUACUACUGAAGUACUAACUACCUUAAAACCAAUUUGUAUUACUAAGGUCAAAAAUGUGAAGUGGUUGUAACCAUAAUAGUAACGCUGACCGUCUAGGAGACUUUGGUUGCAGAACGCGACUUUACAAACAAAUUGCCAAGCUGUGAAGUAGUCUCAUAUUAAUGUUAUAUUGCUCUUGUUUUAGUAUGUUCCUCCCUGUUUCUGUUUAUAGUAUGCUCUUUCUGUUUCUCAUUACAAUAUGCACUGAAUCCCUAAACUAUACUUAUUAUAGUUUACUAGCAUGUUUACUUGAACUAUUACUGACUUUUCUAAAAGACUCAUUUAUCUACUAAGUUAUGACUGUACUCUAAAAACGGCAUUUUAUAAACGAUAAAGUAACAUAAUUUAAAAAGACUUUUUGAAAUGGUUUUGAUCACUUAUGAAAGCAUAAGAAAUCUUUCAAUGUGAUGGUUAUCACAAAUAACAUUUACACAAUUUUCAUUGUCUUCAAUGUGUAUUCCGCCUCUGAAAAGCAUUUAAAAACAUUUAAAAGAUUGAUUAUAAGGGUAUGAACUCACCUUAUGUGGGUGAUUCAAUUGCAGAUUCGUGUAAGGGUGAGAAGUUCCAUGAAUGAAUCACUGAGACACAAACAAGUCCUAAAUAACAUAUAAUGGCAUAUAUAGGCGUGUAAUAAGUGUUUAACACAACUAACAUGCAAGGAAACACCCUUAGGGACUAGGAAAGAUGUGUACUAAGUGUUAGAAUCACAUCUGAUUCACUAAAUGGUUUAUACAGCCACACCAUGGAGUGUACGGCCGUACACUCAUGGUAAACCAUGCAUAAGAGGGUGUUUGAACCAUGGGGAAGCUAGUGGGUCUAUUGCUCAACAAGAAUAUGAACUAAGUUCUCAUUUUGGAUGGGCUUUCACAGUGUUUUGAAGUGUGUAGAGCCAUGCAAGGGUGUACGGCCGUACACUCAUUUUUUUCUUGUAAAAUGGUCGAUUUCAAGGUGAAUAACAACAAUCCCUAACGUAUACUAAGCUUAUGGAAAAGAUACUUAUGAUUUUGAAGCUUGUUGAGGGUUCACAACCACCAAGAACUAGUGUGUGUUCUUGGUGAAAGAUCAAGAUUUGAAGAUCUAUCAUAAAAGAGAUGUUUUCAUUGAUGAAUCAUGAGGUGAUUACAAGACUAGGAAGGGUAUCAACAAGGAUGGAAGAAUCACCUACCACUUUGGAUGAUUAGGAUGAAGAAUCUUGAUGAUACUAGUUUGAGGGGAUUUCGGCAAUGGAAGGAAGAAAAUGAAGAAUGUGAAGUGAUGUUAUAUAUAUAGGAGGGAUGUAUGGCGAACUUGAGUGUACAUCCAUACACCCAUGUGUACGUCCGUACACACCUCCUGAUGGUGUGUUCGACUCGAAAAGCAAUACUAUAACUUAGGGUAACUCAUCCCUAAAGCCAAAACUUGAAUGUACUACGCUUAGAGCACUCAAGCAGAUCAAAAACGAUGCUAAAAGAUAGCAUAAAUGAGUCUGAAUCUCGACUGAUGGACUGGACUUUCAAGUAAAAAAAAUUUGGGUUGUCACAUCACCCCCCCGUUAGAUGGAAUUUCGUCCCGAAAUUAGCUUUCAUAAAAGUAUUACUGCUCUUCUGACUGGCAGGAUACUCACUCGUAUAUAUGGGAAACUUUGCGCUUACACUCAUGAUAGGAUUCCUACUUGGUCCAUCUAUCAACACCUUGUGAAUAUAAGUCACAUAUAAUCAACAUUAGUCAGAUGGUCUGAUUUGCGGUUUAUACAGUCGACACGGUGUUGAACGCCAAUGUACUCUUUGCAUAAGUACUUUAGGGUUUAGAAUAUGAUAUAGAUUAUUCGGAGGUCUGGGUUGACUGUCGUUACGAGUGACGAAGGUUUUGUGGAUUUGACGGUCAAGGCGAUGGAAAUAUAUGAAUUUAGUAUGGUGAUGACCACGACAACUCAUGAUGAAUGAUGAUAACAGACUCUUUACAGAAACAAAAGUUAGGCCGGUUUGAAAGAAACGCUUGUUAUAGGACGGUGUAUCUUGACUAUGUUCGACAAUGUACUCUGUGUAAAUGUUCUAGUGCUUUCUGUUCUCCCUUGUGUAGUGUUUUGAUAACUAGUGUCGACACUCUAAAUUAUGAUCCUCCUUGGUACCUCUACGAUCGCCUAGCAUAUACAAGUUAUAUAUAAUUAAGAUGAAUAAGACGGUCGACUGAGUGGCUCUGCCCUAAAUCCACAACCAAACAAGGAACAGGAAAUAAGGCGGAAUCACUCACUCUAAGUCUGCAAAAUCUUAGCUAUACAAAACCUUGAUGUACAUACUAAGCCAUCAUAGCUUCCCUGAGAUUUUCAAUUUUACUAUAAUAUAUUAAAUUAAAUCUUUUCAACGAAAUUUUUAAUUAGAAGACAUAUCGCAGGUCGCUGGGGACUCCGAGGUAGUUUGUCCUGCGGUGAUCAUCAGCAUUUGUUCAUACGCGCCUGAGUUCUUCGUUAUGGGGUUGUCCCUCUUUUAGUGCCCUGCCUCCCCACAGCUAUAGCAGGCCUAGUUUAUUUCUAUUCCAGGGACAUGGGAUAUCGGUUAUGUCGGUGCCCUGCAGAACCGGGAGUGUGCCCUUUUCUACGGCAAUUCAAGCAAUGCCUUUUCCGACAAAAUCAAGUGUGAUGGUAGUUUCACUUUCCACACUUUGGGAGAGUUCCAACAUAUCAACUGGCAAGUGCUGGAUAGCAGGUGUUGUGGCGGCGUAUACAGUAGUCACUUGUUGCUCCUGCGGAGUUUCCUGGGUUGUUCCCUCUUUCCUCUUAUUCCACGACUUUCCUUUAUAGUCUCCUUCCUUCGAUGGCUCGGGAACAGGGACCACCAAGCUAUGGUGGACUCCAUGGUUAAUGAGUCGUUCGGCCAGGCGUCUGGCGCUAUCGAAUGUAGUUGGGUUAGAGGACAGUACAUCUCCUUGAAUCAGGGUAGAGAAACCCCAUAUGUACUUUUCUAUUUUCUUACUCUCUGGUGUAACCAUCUCAGGGCAUAAUGCUGCUAGGUCGCUAAACCUGUCAGUGCAGGUCAGUAUGUCUGAGCCAACCAUGGUAUGCUCCCAUAGCUCUUGUUCUAGGUUUUGAACUUUGCCCCUUAGGCAGUAUUCUUACAACAUCAUCUCUUUCAGGUUCGCCCAACCUAUCGACAUAGCCACUGGUAGGGUCAGUGACUUAAUAUGGCUAUUCCACCAUGUCAGGGCUCUAUCGGAAAAGGUGUAGGCAACAAACUUCACUUUGCUCCCUUCUGGGAAUGAACAGAUUUCGAAGACCGAAUCUGUUUUCUCGAACCAUCGGCUCAUAGCAACGACUCCUCCAUUUCCAUUAAACGAUUUGGGUUUUAAGUUCAUGAAGUCCUUGUACGAAAACUCCCUUGUGUGUUCGUGAGUAACUCUGGGGUUUGUCAAGUGGGUACCACUACCGGUUUUGUUGGUACUACUUUCGUUGAGGUGGGUUAAAGCAGCUGAUUACGCGGAUGCUAUUGCUGCAUGGAGAGCAGUAGGAUCAAAUUUUGGAGAAGGUAGUGGAGUUUGAACUGGAGGUAUCGGAGUAGUGCAUCUCGUUGAUCGACGUGGAUGAAUCUUGCUAAAAAGAAUACACAGAUAAGAUGGAGAUAAGUCUAUAGCGGUGGAUAUAAGCCGGAAGCUGAAUGACAAAGUUAUCCUAGUUCUGAGUGUAGCUGGUUCUGACUUUCAUAGGGUUCUGGAAACAAUUCAUAAAAGGAGUCUAUACAAAAUUAACUUUAUGAAUCAGAAGUGGCUAUCUCGAAUGAAUUUUUGAGAAUAGAAUAAUUGAUACUGACUGCAUGCAAAGAAAUAAUCCUAACACAUAGUGUGAGUAGUGAAAUCACCAGCUCACUAUGUCAAUUAAGUUUAUUUUUUUAUUAGUGUGACGCAUAAGAUGUUUCAGUUCCUCCGACUGAUCAGUUCUUGGAAAACUCUCUUUGUAUCUCCUUGACUCCUCUGUUGUGUGCCAUGAUGGAUAGGUUACAUCUAUCAGGGUUUUUUGUACGAGAAUAGAAGUGUCUAAAGAAUCUAUGAGAUUAAGGGUAACAUUAUGAGGUGAUCCUUACUGGGUCUUCCUACAAUUACGUAAUGUAUACAAGUUGUAUAUAAUUUAAGAUUAAAUAGAACUUCGAAUAAGUGAUCCUACUCCAAAAUCAUAGACCUACCAGAAGGGUCUUUUAUAUUCUUACAUAAGUUACUUAUAGUGCCUAAAAUACUCUUAUAACAUUUUAAUGUAAUGUACUUGGUAUGUUUUCAACUUGUUGUCUUGUAGUUUCGUAAAAUACUCCCAUAGUAUUCUAACUUUAUGUUUUGAUCUAGAAAUCCCUUGAAUAGUGUUAGGUAAUUUUUAUGACUAUUGCAACACCACAUCACUCCCAAGCACAUGUCGGUCACAUCUCAAGUGAAUAUAAUUGAUCAUGCCAUAUUAAUCCUAGAUAUGAUUACACAACUGCCCUGGUUUGACUGUAGUGUUCAACCUUUAAAUACCUCUGUUCUUUUCUUCUUGUGAUACUUAUUCUAUUAUGUAUAUAUGUAUAAACAAGUAUGUAUACUUUUAUAAAGUAUUGUUAUAUUUUUAAAAUGUAUUAUUAUCCAGAGCACUUUAUAGUUGUAUAUCUUUUAUAGGUUGAUAUACUUAGUUCACUAUAAACAAUGCUCUGAUACCAAUCUGUCACACCCCCAAACCGGAAUGGCGGAAAUAUUCGGGGACAGAGGACGUCAUGUUUAGUAUCACAACACAUGCAUCAUAGUAAUCAAAGUAGUAAACAACCAUCGUAUUAAUGUUUAUGUGUUUACAAAGAUAUGUUUCACAAAAGAUUUACUCCAAAAGUAAAAAACAAAACAACACAUGCAGCUACUAUGCUCCGUCUUCUGUAUCACAGUGCGCGUACCUGUCUACUUGUUUCCUGAUAAUCCAAGUUAUUUUGAAAGUGUAGGUCAACAUUUAAGCUGGUGGGUUCAUAAGUAUUUUAGUGAUGUUAAGUAAGUUGUAAGUUCAUUUUAGAAAAUUUUGCUUGUUCCUCCAGAAGAUCCUAUAUCUUCUGAUAUGAUGAAAGAUAAGUAAAAUGACUCUACAAUCCUUUCUAUGAAUGCUAAAUGGAUACAAGUUAUAUUGAAUCUAAAUCAAACAAACAAUCGAUUGUGUGACUCUGCCCUAUGCCCACAACCACACAAGGAACAGGAAAUGAGGCGGAAAGCACACAUCCCAUUGUUUGUUAGAUCUUCAUAGUAUAUGACCCUGGUGUAUUCAUUUGGUACUCACGGAGUUAAUUGUAAUAGUUCCUUUAUAUUUGAUGAAAACAUUCUUUAAGGAAAACCCUUAUUUCCAUUAGUAAAAAUGAUAACCACAAUAGUUCCUUCUAUAAUCACUUAGUUUAUACAAGCUAUAUAUAAUCUAAUAUCGAACAGAUAAUUAACUAUAUGAAUCUGUCCUAAGCCCACAAGCAAACAAGGAACAAUAAGUAAGGCGGAAAGCACACAUCUAACUGCAUAUCAGAUACUAAUUAUAUAUAACCCUGAUGUAUAAGCUAAGGUAUCAUAGAAUUAACCACUACAGUCCCUUUAAAGUUAUAUUGGUUUAAUAAAGAGGAUUAAACCCUUUUACUGCUAGGUUUCUAGUUCAGUCUACUACAUAUUCUAUCUAAAAUGUAUGUUUUUGUACUUGAAAACGAUGUACUGAAUUUGUAUGUUAUGGCCGGGCCUAUACCUAGUACCCCUUAUGAUUACUUGGUGUAUACGAAAUAUAUAUAUAUAUAUAUAUAUAUAUAUAUAUAUAUAUAUAUAUAUAAGAUCGAAUAGAUAGUAGACUGGGUGCAUCUGUUCUAAGCCCACAACCAAACUAGGAACAAGAAAUGAAGCAGAAAACACACAUCCUACUAUCUGCCGGACCCGAUUUAUAUAUAUCCCUAAUGUAUAAACUAAGGAAUCAUAAAGUUCGUAUUAUAGACCCUCUUUUCUAAGUAAAUGUAUUACAACUCGACGGUACUAUUUGUGUUUUGUAAUAAUGUAAGUAUACAGUAGUAUUUUAAAAUGACUACUGAAGUAUUGACUGCCUUAAAACCAAUUCGUAUUAUUAAGGUCAAAAAUCUGAAGUGGAUGUAACCAUACUAAUAACAUUGUCCGUCUAGGAGACUUUGGUUACAAAACACGACUUUACAAACAAAUUUCCAAGUUGUGAAGUAGUCUCACAUUAAUGUUAUCUUGCUCUUGUUUUAGUAUGUUCCUCCCUAUUUCUCUUUAUAGUAUGUUCUUUCUUUUUCUCAUUAUAAUAUGCACUGAAUCCCUAAACUAUACCUAUUAUAGUUUACUAGCAUGUUUACUUGAACUGUUACUGACUUUUCUAAAAGACUCAUUUAUCUACUAAGUUAUGAGUGUACUUUAAAAACGGCGUUUUAUAAACGAUAAAGUAACAUAAUUUAAAAAGAGUUUUUGAAAUGGUUUUGAUCACUUAUGAAAGCAUAAGAAAUAUUUCAAUGUGAUGGUUAUCAUAAAUAACAUUUACACAAUUUUCAUUGUGUUCAAUGUGUAUUCCGCCUCUGAAAAGCAUUUAAACACAUUUAAAAGAUUGAUUAUAAGGGUACGAAGUCACCUUAUGUGGGUGAUUCAAUUGCAGAUUCAUGUAAGGGUAAGAAGUUCCACGAAUGAAUUACUGAGACACAAACAAGUCCUAAAUGACAUAUAAUGGCAUAUAUAGGCAUGCAAUUUGUGUUUAACACAACUAACAUGCAAGGAAACACCCUUAGGGACUAGGAAAGAUGUGGACAAAGUGUUAGAAUCACAUGUGAUUCACUAAAUGGAGUAUAUGGCCACACCAUGGAGUGUACGAUCGUACACUCAUGGUAAAACAUGCAUACGAGGGUGUUUGAACCAUGGGGAAGCUAGUGGGUCUAUUGCUCAACAAGAAUAUGAACUAAGUUCUCAUUUUGGAUGGCCUUUCGGAUUGUUUUGAGGUGUGUAGAGCCAUGCAAGGGUGUACGACCGUACACUCAUUAUUUGUUGUAAAACAGUCGAUUUCAGGUGAAUAACAAUAGUCCCUAACGUAUACUAACCAUAUGGAAAGGAUACUUACAAUUUGGAAGCUUGUUGAGCUUUCAUAGCCACGAAGAACUAGAGUGUGUUCUUGGUGUUCUUAGUGAAAGAUGAAUAUUUGAAGAUCUAUCAUAAAAGAGAUGUUUUCACUGAUGAAUCAUGAGGUGAUCACAAGACUAGGAAUGAUAUCAAGAAGGAUGGAAGAUUCACUUACCAUUUUGGAGGAUUAGGAUGAAGAGUCUUGAUGAUACUUGAGAGAGCAUGAGGGGAUUUCGGCCAAGGAAGGAAGAAAAUGAAGAAUGUGAAGUGAUGUUAUAUAUAUAUAUAUAUAUAUAUAUAUAUAUAUAUAUAUNNNNNNNNNNNNNNNNNNNNNNNNNNNNNNNNNNNNNNNNNNNNNNNNNNNNNNNNNNNNNNNNNNNNNNNNNNNNNNNNNNNNNNNNNNNNNNNNNNNNNNNUUGGAGAUAUUGUAUGACCACCUUGAGUGUACGGCCGUACCACCAUGUGUAUGUCCGUACACACCUCCUGAUGGUGUGUUUGGCUCGAAAAGCAAUACUAUGACUGAGGGUAACUCAUCCCUAAACCCAACACUUGAAUGUACUAUGCUUAGAACACUCAAACACAUCCAAAACGAUGUUAAAAGAUUGUAUAAAUGAGUCUAACUCUCGAUUGAUGGACUUGACUUUCAAGAAAAAAAAAAUUGGGUUGUCACAUCAUCCCCCCGUUAGAUGGAAUUUCGUCCCAAAAUUAGCCUUCUUAGAUGUUUUACUGCUCCUCUGACUGGCAGGAUACUCACUCAUAGAUAUGAGAAACUUUGCCCUUACGCUCAUGAUAGGAUUCCUCCUUGGUCCAACACCUCGUGAAUAUAAGUCACAUAUAAUCAAGAUUAGUCAGAUGGUCGGAUGUGUUACUCUGCCCCAGGUCCACAACCAAACAAGGAACAUGAGAUAGGGCGAAAAACACACAUACUAAAUCUGCAUAAUCAUAAUUAUAUACCACCCUUGCGGUUACACUUAAUAGUGAUAGGUGGGUUAUAUUCGUCCUUAGCCUCUAUGCUUGAACUUGAUAUGUUGGACGAAUGGUAGUUCGGGAAGGUUUGCAGUUUAUACAGUCGACACGGUGUCUAAGGCGAAGGUACUCUUUGCAUAAGUACUUCAGGGUUUAGAAUAUGAGAUAGACGAUUCAGAGGUCUGGGUCGGCUGUCAUUACGAGUGAUGAGGGUUUUAUGGAUUUGACAGUCAAGGCGAUGGAAACAUAUGAACUUAGUAUGGUGACGACCACGACAACUCAUGACGAAUGAUGAUAACGGACUCUUUACAGAAACAAAAGUUAAGCUGGUUUGAAAGAAACGCUUGUUAUACGAUGGUGUAUCCUGAGUGUGUUUGACAAUGUACUCUAUGUAAAUGUUCUAGUGAUUUUUGUUUUCCCUUGAUGUUAUCACUACCACAAAUCGUACCGCGAUGAGCGAGUACUAAUAGUGUAGUGUUUUGAUAACUAGUGUCGACACUCUAAAUUAUGAUACUCCUUGGUACCUCUACGAUCGUGUAGCAUAUACAAGUUAUAUAUAAUUAAGAUAAAUAAGACGGUCGAAUGAGUGGCUCUGCCCUAAAUCCACAACCAAGCAAGGAACAGGAAUUAAGGCGGAAUCACUCACUCUAUGUCUGCAAAAUGUUAGCUAUGCACAACCCUGAUGUACAUACUAAGCCAUCAUAGCUUCCCUAAACGGAUCUUUAGUUCUCUUAUGAAUCUUGUUGUCACACCCCCAAACCAAGGAUGGCGGAAACGUCCAGGGGUGGAGGACUUCAUGUACAGUAUCACAACAACGUGUAUAAUAGUGCUCAAAGUAAAUACAACCAUCAUAAAUAUAAUUGAAAAAGUUACAUCAAAGUAUAUGUUUACAUGUUUCAAAAUCAAUUACAAUAUGAUGACAAAAAUAAAUUGUUGACGGUUUAACGUCCCAUCCUCAAAGCGCUGAAGUUUUCCUGUUUCACUGAUUUCCUGAGAAUACAAGUAGUUUUGAAAAAGAGUGUCAACAAUUAAGUUGGUGAGUUCAUAAGAGUUUUGUUUGGAGUAGAAACCGUUUUCCUUCUUAAAAUCGAUGAAGUUUGAUUUCCAGAAAAUCCAAUAUUUUCUUAGUUAAGUGUAAACAGAAUAAUCCUAAAUGAUACGUUGAUGUAUUCUAGAUUUACCCGUAGAUUUCCCCUAUAAUUGUCCAGCCUAUAUAAGUUAUAUAAGAUUUAGGUUAGAUAAAACGUCGAAUGUAAUGGGUCCGCCCUAGGUCCACAACCAAACAAGGAACAGGAGAUAAGGCGGGCACCACCAAUUCCAAGCCAAUCCAGACUAAAUUCUUGUAUGACUCAAGCAUAUACGCUCAACGAUUAUAGUUGAAGUCUAACCAUAUGAAAAUCUAUUGUGAUUAUAACCUAUACAUAUCAUAGUUCACCGGGGAGUAAUAGGGAUUAGGGAACCUGAACUAUGCAUAUGAAUAGCUUAUCAAAAGUGAUGGUGAUGGUGAGUGUAACCUAUACAAUGUGUUAAUGUGAAUAUAACCUAUACAUAUCAUAGUUCACCGGGGAAUAAUAGAGAUUAGUGAACCUGAACUAUGCAUAUGAAUAGCUUAUCGAAAGUGAUGUGAAUAUAACCUAUAUGAUGUGUUAAUGUGAAUAUAACCUAUACAUAUCAUAGUUCACCGGGGAAUAAUAGAGAUUAGUGAACCUGAACUAUGCAUAUGAAUAGCUUAUCGAAAGUGAUGUGAAUAUAACCUAUAUGAUGUGUUAAUGUGAAUAUAACCUAUACAUAUCAUAGUUCACCGGGGAAUAAUAGAGAUUAGUGAACCUGAACUAUGCAUAUGAAUAGCUUAUCGAAAGUGAUGUGAAUAUAACCUAUAUGAUGUGUUAAUGUGAAUAUAACCUAUACAUAUCAUAGUUCACCGGGGAAUAAUAGAGAUUAGUGAACCUGAACUAUGCAUAUGAAUAGCUUAUCGAAAGUGAUGGUGAAUUCCUUUCUUGUAAUUAAGUUCCUAGAGUAGAUGAAACAUAAACUAUACCUAUUAUAGUUUAUUACAUUGUUUGUAAUAUGUAUUUACCAUAACUAUACCAAUUAUAACUAACGAGUUCGUUUGUGGGGGUAUAAUGGCUUAACUAUACUUAUUAUAGAUUAUCUUAAUCGUCCAUAGCGGCAAUAACUCUUAUGUAAGUGUAAGACCUUUAAUAUUGUGUUUGUUAUAUGAAUGACCCUAAACUAUACCUAUUAUAGUUUAUCGAUUGAUUUCGUGGGAAAUGAGCAUAGGCCUUACUUGUCAUAAUUUAUCAAUAUUUAUAUUUUAAUGGAUAUAGCCUCGUAGUAUCGUAUAUAUAUAUAUAUAUAUAUAUAUAUAUAUAUAUAUAUAUAUUUGUCAUACUUGUGAAGAUGUAAAUCCAUGUGUUUUCUGAUGUAUGUCUAUGUAGGAAUACAAAAUUUGUCAUAUAUUGCAACUACACAUAAUCAACUAACGAUGUAUACCUUGCUCGACAUGUUACAAGGUGAAAUGAAAUUUAUUGUGUUUUUCUGUUAAUAACCUUUUCUGUAACUGAUAUUGGAAAAAUUGUAGAAAAAUCAUAAAAUGUCCAAAUCAGGUUCUGUAACUUCUGGGAGUUUGGAAAAUGAGUCUAGUUUGUUCAUAAUUUUUAUUAUAAUUUUUAAUGAUCUCUAACUUGGGUGAAAAAGUCCAUAAUCACAGACUGGUCCGGAUUGAUGUUUGAAAUGAUAGGCAGUUUUGUAAAAAUCACCAUAAAUUGUAGAAAAAUCGUAUGGAGAUGUGCAAGUAGUCAUUUUAAAGCUAAGAAGUGGAACUACAUGCACCUAAAACAGUUUUGAAAACAAAAAUAUUUAAGAUGUCCAAAACAGUCCGUGAAUGGAGUGAAACUUUUCUGAUGAAAGCUGUUAGAAGAAUGUAGUUAUGUUCUAAGCAUUUUAACUUGUAUUCCCCCCCUAAAAACUUGAGAAAACGUGAAAAUGUAGGGGUAUGAACUCACUUUGUGUGUUUUCAGUAGAUAAGAGUUGAAGAAGAGAAGUGUUCAACCCAAGAACACUUGGAGAAUCCCUUGAAGAUUCGAAGCUCUAACACAAAUAUAAUGGAGUUUGUGUAAGAUAUCCAUGAUUUGAGUGGAAAUAAUUGAGAUAAACAUAAAGGAAAUGGAUUAUGCUUACCAAAUGUGGAGGAAAAACUCAAGAUCAGCCCUUGAAUCUCGAAUUUCUAGAGAGAGAAAGUGAGAGAGAAAAGAGUUUGAUCUUCUUGUGAAAUGAGAGCAAAUGAGAGAAAAUGAGGAGAGAGGAUGAUUAUCCAGCUCUCAAAAACGUGGGGAUGGCUUGUAAAAAGGGGUAAAAGGUACAAGGUAUGGUGGGGAGGAGUAUGGGUUGUCAUGGAGUGGGUAUGGGGGUUGCUUGCGUCAUAAAGUAAAGCAAAGUCAACACUCCAUCUCUUUGUACUUUACCCACUUGCUUUUAAUAUUUAAAUAAAGAUUUUUAUGAAAAUAUGAUUAAAUUGUGAAUAUUUAGGGUUUAUUAUGUUAAAAUAUAAUUUUGGGUGAAAACCCCGCGUUAAAAUAAUUAAAAACGGGCCUUAAACGUAAAACUAUGCGAAAACCGGGAGAAAUUGAGCUUCCAGCGAGACCUCUCGGUCCUAGGCCGAGGUUCGGUCCCUAGGCCGAGGUUCGGUCCAUGCUGAUGCUGAGUCGGAAACGAAGGCGCGAGCCAGAAGAAGAAGCGAAGGCGAGGGGCGAGGGUCUGGUCCGAAGGCUCGGUCCGAAGGCUCGGUCCGAAGGGUCAGCAAGGAAGCUUCGGUUCGGAGCUUAGGAGGCAAGAAUGGCAGAACCGAACGGACUGUAGUGAACAGUAAUGAACAGUACCUUCGGUUCGGUUAGUGAACAGUACCUUCGGUUCGGAUCAGCAGCCUUCUUCAUCAGGAGGGUUCGGUUCCUAAGAGGGGUUUCGGUUCCUAAGAGGGGUUUCGGUUCCUAAGAGGGGUUUCGGUUCCUAAGGUCCGUUUUUCGCGUAGACUUCCGUUUUUGGGCUGUUUUCGCCAAAUUCGAGGGUCGGGAUGCCCCGAGUGAUUAUGGAAAGUUGGGAGAGAUUUCGAGGGAGAUUUGGGAGAGAUUCCUCGUUCUCAGAGAGAUUUGGGAGAGAUUUGACGUACUUGGAGAGAUUUCGCAUACGAAGAGAUACGUGAGAGAGAUUUCACAUACUUAGAGAGAUUUGGGAGAGAUUUGACAUACUUGGAGAGAUUUGGGAGAGAUUUGGCAUACUUGGAGAGAUUUCGCAUACAAAGAGAUAUGUGAGAGAGAUUUCACAUACUUAGAGAGAUUUGGGAGAGAUUUGACAUACUUGGAGAGAUUUGGGAGAGAUUUGACAUACUUGGAGAGAUUUCACAUACAAAGAGAUAUGUGAGAGAGAUUUCACAUACUUAGAGAGAUUUGGGAGAGAUUUGACAUACUUGGAGAGAUUUCACAUACAAAGAGAUAUGUGAGAGAGAUUUCACAUACUUAGAGAGAUUUGGGAGAGAUUCGACGUACUUGGAGAGAUUUCGCAUACGAAGAGAUACGUGAGAGAGAUUUCACAUACUUAGAGAGAUUUGGGAGAGAUUUGACAUACUUGGAGAGAUUUGGGAGAGAUUUGGCAUACUUGGAGAGAUUUCGCAUACAAAGAGAUAUGUGAGAGAGAUUUCACAUACUUAGAGGGAUUUGGGAGAGAUUUGACAUACUUGGAGAGAUUUCACAUACUUAGAGAUAUGUGGGAGAGGUUUCACUGGUGACCUUUUUGAGUGUCCGGCCACGCACUGCAAGGUCCUUAAACCCAGUUAAGCCUUGAUUAGGGAUCUUGCAUACUCCCGAUGAGUAUGUAACAUUGUUUUAUUGGUUUGGCUCUCUACGUACCACUGUUUCAGGUUAAGGAGAUUUAGGUGAACGCACUUUUCAAUUUAUGAUCUCUCAUUAGAAUAGAGAGUUGUUUAGAAGUUACUUAACGUAAACUCUAGUACUUACGGCAAUUUGGGUUGACCGGUUUGACUUGUUGACUUUUGUUGACUUUUACUUGACCGAAAAUUGACGGUUGUCACACUUGUGACUUUUUCAGACGAAUUAAAAAUUUAUAAUUACUUUUAAAUGUUUUCCCUAUGAUUUUAAAUUUUACUAUAAUAUAUUAAAUUAAAUCUUUUCAACAAAAUUUUUAAUUACAAGACGUACCGCUGGUCGCUGGGGACUUCGAGGUAGUUUCUCCUACGGUGAUCAUCAGAAUCCGUCAAUCCACGCCUGAGUUCUUCGUUAUGGGGCAGUCGAUCUUGUAGUGCCUUGCCUCCCCACAGCCAUAGCAGGCCUGAUUUAUUUCUACUCCAGGGACUUGGGAGAUCAAUUGUGCUAGUGUCGUGCAGAACCGGGCAGUGUGCCCUUUCCUGCGACAAUUCAAGCAAUGCAUUUCCCGACAUACUCUAGUGUGGUGGUAGUUACACUUUCCACACUUUAGAAGAGGUCACACAUAUCGACUGGCAGGUGCUGGAAUAGGAGGUGCUAUGGCGGCGUAUAUAGUAGUCACUUGUUGCUCCUGCGGGUUUUCUAUUGGAUAAGGUGUCUAAGUCCAUAACUAUUUUUGGUGUGUACUUGACCCGACCCGACAUGGUCCAUUUGGAUUGCAUUGCAGCAUGCAUUUGGAUAGAAUAAAUGAAAGAAAUAACACUUUUGGUUUAUUAAUUUACUAUAAGUUGUAAUAUAUUAAUAGUGUUAUUUAUUUAGUAUUGCUCAAUAAUUUAUUUGAAAUUAAUUAAGUGAUCAAAAGAUAACUAUUUAAAUAUAUGGGUUGAUUAUGUAAAUCAACCAUAACUUGUAUAGUGGGCUAAAAGGCUCCAUGGAUUAUCAAGUUUGGUUAAACCCAUAGGAUGCUCCAUGGAUGCUCCAUGAGAGUUACAAACCCAUGGGUCAUGGAAAUGAAGAGUCAUGACACAUUUGGGUUUACAUGGUGUAACCCUAGAUGUGUCACACUAUAUAUGUAACAGCUUCUCCGCCAAAAUCGGCUACAUACAAGAACAAGAGAAGGCUAGGCCGAUUUUUUAGAGUGUUUGUAUUCUCUCAAAAGUCAUUCCAAAGGCAUUUUGUGUUGUGUGAUGCAUUUGAGGCAUCACACUUGGGGUGCUAGGCUCUAAUGGUUUUCAAGGAAUGAAAUCAACUACAAGGUAUGUAAUUUUAGCCAAAUUUUUAGUUUAAAAGUUCCCUUGUAUGCUAGAUAGGAUUAUGAGCAUUGGAAAUCAUAUUUUGCAUGUAUUUAGACAAACAUAGAUCCAAGGUUUUUCUAUGGUUGCAUGUACACUUAGGAAGUGUUAGAAUGUUCAAAACCCAUCAGUAGUAUCAGUGCCUAGGCUUGUUUGUUAAAUAGUUGAUGCAAACUUGUUUUUCAAAAGCCAAAAACUGUCUUAACAGGAAAACUCGAUGAGUUCUAGCUAAAAACUCACCGAUUUUUUGUGUUAUAGCAUGAACUCGACGAGUUCGUUGAUGAUCUUGACGAGUUUGUCAUCCAGUGAGUAGUUUUGGGAGCUUUGUUGUUGUAAAUUGACUAGAAACAUUACCCUAAAUUGUUUUGGUGCUGUAAAACUUUUUUUAGAUGGUGUAAUGAUUGUUCUAAUCUAUUUACAAUGGAUAAUAUCGAUUUUUCAUGAUUAUAUGUAUUCAUAUGUUCUUGAAACUUUGAUAUGAAUAUUCAUGUUCUUAAGAGUUUUUGAUAGAUCAUAGGAAUUACUUGUUUAAAUGAUUAAUUCAUGAUCUUUAUGUGUUUUAAUGGAGUCCAUAACUUGUCCUCAAGUUAUGGAUAACCAAUAGUCUCUUUGUGUUAAAAGCCAUUAAAAGAACACAUAAGUUAUAAAAUGAAGAGUCUUCAUUUUAAUGACUCAUAAUUUAUGAAUGUGAAAGGUUUCGUAAAGUUACAAAACUUGCCCUCAAGUUUUGGAACAUGUAAAGUCACUUAAUAAACCUUAGUUCCAACCUUUAGAAUUUUAAAAGUUAAAAUUCAACCCGUAUACUUUAUAAUAUUAUAAUUUAAUUAUAUAUAUAUAUAUAUAUAUAUAUAUAUAUAUAUAUAUNGUCGGUCUAUAAGGGGGUAUAAGGUUGUUGCCUAUAAAAUGGAAACUUAAUGGCUGUCCACUCUCACCCACUGCUUCCUUGAUCAGAGGAGGGUCGUUAGCCGAACGGGUAGGACAAGGACUUAUAAACCUUCAUUAAAAGUAUAAUGAAUAUUAUAAAGUAACUAAAUGUUUUAUUAAAUUCCCAAUCUUAGUUACUUUAGGGAAAAUAAAUAAGGUGCUAAUCCAUGAAAUUACACUUUACACUUUGUUUAAGUUGUUGGUGGAGCGUGUGUGGUUAACCAGCACACUAACUUGGACUUAACAAGGUAGGUAAAGGGUGACUUAAUGUUUAUCAUAGUAUUGGUGGAGCGUGUGUGGUUAACC
rnacentral:lncRNA from 1 species